rnacentral:rRNA from 1 species
UGACUGCGAGCGUGACGGCGCGAGCAGGUGCGAAAGCAGGUCAUAGUGAUCCGGUGGUUCUGAAUGGAAGGGCCAUCGCUCAACGGAUAAAAGGUACUCCGGGGAUAACAGGCUGAUGAUGCCCAAGAGUCCAUAUCGACGGCAUCGUUUGGCACCUCGAUGUCGGCUCAUCACAUCCUGGGGCUGGAGAAGGUCCCAAGGGUUGGGCUGUUCCCCAUUAAAGUGG